ACGGUAUUGAGCAUAAGGGAUUGACUGAAUCAAUGGUUUAGGAUGAGUGCUAUUCUGAUGUAAUAUAGUGUUUAGAUCCAUCAGUUUGUAGAAAAGGGUAUAAGAGAGCCCUUGAUCAACGACAGCUAUUUCCAAAUCCAAACAUUUUAUUUUUUCAGUACUGAUAUGCGCUGUCAGUCUAAAUGGUUUAGGUAUUCAACCCUAUGUGCCUGGGGUACUGUCCCCCUCCAUAGAAUUAGC